rnacentral:rRNA from 1 species
UGCCUACGGGGGGCUGCAGUGGGGAAUAUUGGACAAUGGGCGAAAGCCUGAUCCAGCAAUGCCGCGUGAGUGAUGAAGGCCUUAGGGUUGUAAAGCUCUUUUACCCGGGAUGAUAAUGACAGUACCGGGAGAAUAAGCCCCGGCUAACUCCGUGCCAGCAGCCGCGGUAAUACGGAGGGGGCUAGCGUUGUUCGGAAUUACUGGGCGUAAAGCGCGCGUAGGCGGCUUUGUAAGUUAGAGGUGAAAGCCCGGGGCUCAACCCCGGAAUUGCCUUUAAGACUGCAUCGCUAGAAUCCGGGAGAGGUGAGUGGAAUUCCGAGUGUAGAGGUGAAAUUCGUAGAUAUUCGGAAGAACACCAGUGGCGAAGGCGGCUCACUGGACCGGCAUUGACGCUGAGGUGCGAAAGCGUGGGGAGCAAACAGGAUUAGAUACCCUAGUAGUCGC